ensembl:miRNA
UGCAUGGUGUCGUCCUCAUCAUCAUCAUCGUCCUUGCUGGGGGAGCUAUCGAUAUCUGCCAGCUGGGGGAGCAGGAGAGGACGGGGUGAG